CCCAACCUCAAAUAUGAAUUAAAAAAUAAAUACCUACCCCUGGCCAAAAACGUUACAAAAGGAUACCAUUCAGUUGUCACACAUGUCCCUAACCACUUCUGUGACACGAAUUUGAUAUAACUGCUUGUGCAAUUUUCUGCAGUCUAAAGUUUCAUGUUGUCUGCACAUGUACUUUCUUUGGAGACACCAUUUGCCUCCUGACAAAUCGGAAAAUGAUCAAAAUAGUGACUCUGAUUGGUUUACGUAUUGUAUAUUAACGCAUGACUGUUGACAUUGCUUUUUAGUCUUUGGAAAUGACAAUAAUUUUUUUAUUACCCAACCCUUGAGUUGUUUUGUUUUUCAUUUACCCAACCUUUUACUUACUCAAAAUUUUGUUUACCCAACCCUUUUCUCUUCGGUGCCACCCACCAUAAAUAAUGACUGGUCCCUUAGGCUAACAAAAUCUAUACAGUACUUCUGUUUCAGGCCAAUUUGCCUGUCCAAAAUUGGCGGCUUAAAAUAAAGCCAUGCAUUGGUGUUAUUCCAACAGACUACAAA